AAAACAUGUCUAAAUGAAGGAGUUCUAAAAUGUUUGAGUUGUAAAAUGUAUUUUGACUCAGAAUAGUUACAAAAUGGUUUACCUCUACUUAUAUCAUGCACGCUGCCUGAAGUGAUGAAAUAAGAGAUCCAACUCUGACAGACUGUUGGAGAGAAUUCAUAAUUUCUGAUCUGCAGAUUAGCAUUAUGUUUAUAAAUCACCCAAGGUUAUGCACUGGAAAGCUGCUUUUUGACUAAUAAUGUAACGAGCCAUUGUUUUAUCAUUCAAAUUCGGGGCCUGUUGAAAGACCCAUUGAUGAUUCCUAAUAUAAAAAUGUGUAUCUUUCCCCCAAUGGGACCUACAGACUCCAAAUGAAGGUUUAAAUAUAAAAAGUCCUAACAUUUCGUUCAUCUCCCAUCAAGCCCUAUGAGUUGAACCUUAUUUUAUGUAAUAUUGAAAUCAAUUAUUCUCAAUUUGGUAGCCAAAUAGCAACAUUUUUUCCUAAUUUAAUUCGAAACAAUGCGAUUUUUUCCCAAUUCUAAGGUACCUGGCUCCAUUCCAAAAAUUGUGAAAAAAAACAACAUCUGUAUAUUCAAAUUGGUGACAGUCGUAAUGCAAGAAUUAAUGUGAAUGAAAAUUUAUUUGUGAAAUAAAGAAUUACGUAGUGUAGAAUUACUGCAUUUCAGACUAUCAAGAUAGUACUUGGUAACCAUUUACUUUGAAAAAGAAAGCUUAUGUUUAUGAUGAUAACAUAGUUCAACUGAGAUACUGUGAUGUAAUUCAGUAGCUAUGUCUUUCGCUCCUAUCUGAAAUAAAUGGAGACUUCCCAGUAAAUAAAAGAUACUGAAGUUAACAAUUUUGAAUAUGACAUGCAGAUUGUUAUUUAUGAUGAUAACAUAGUUCAACUGAGAUACUGUGAUGUAAUUCAGUAGCUAUGUCUUUCGCUCCUAUCUGAAUCUUAGGAAACCUCCAAGAAAAUAAUAAUUACAAAAUAAAUAAUAUGUAGAAUAUAGCAUGUAGAAAGGUAUUUAUGAUUAUAACAUAGGUCAUUUUAGAUACUGUAUCUAUAUCUUGUGCUCCUAUCUGAAACUAAUAAAAGAAAAUGUGUUGCUUACUAAAUGUAAAUGGAUUAUGAUAUGUAGAAAGUUCAUGAUGAUAUAAUGUUCAGCAAAUGUAUUGCAAUGUUAUUAAGAAGUUGUGUCUAUUGCUCUUUACAUUAAAUAGCCAUAUGUUUAUGGCUUAAGUGGAACCUUUUUAUCGCUCAAUAAGUCUUCUUCUGUUUUUAGCUCACCUGAUUGCUCAGGUGAGCUUUUGUGACCGGUCUUUGUCCGUCGUAUGUCCGUCCGUCCAUUAACAUUUGCUCGUAAACACUCUUAGAGGCCACAUUUCUUGUCCCAUCUUCAUGAAACUUGGUGAGAAGCUUUGUCCCAAUAGAAGCUUUGUCCCAAUGAAAUCUCGGCCGAGUUUGAAACUGGGUUGUGCCGGGUCAAAAACUAGGUCAAUAGGUCAAAAAAAAUAAAAACCUUGUAAACACUGUAGAAGUCACAUUUCAUGCCCAAUCUUCAUGUAACUUUGUCAAAAUGUUUGUCUUAAUGAUAUCUUGGUUGAGUUCAAAAGUGGUUCCGAUCCGUUGAAAAACAUGGGCGCCAGUGGGCAGGGCAGUUUUCCUUAUUUGGCUAUGGAGAAACCUUGUAAACACUCUAUAAGUCACAAUUUUUGCCCAAUCAUCAUGAAAGUUGGUCAAAACAUUGGUUCAAUUGAUGUCACGGACGAGUUCGAAAAUGGUCUAGAUCGGUGAAAAAACAUGGCCGCCAGUGGGCGGGGUAUUUUUCUCUAUAUGUAUAGCGGCAGUUUUCCCUAUUUGGCUUUAGAGAAACCUUGUAAACACUCUAGAAGUCACAAUUUUUGCCCAAUCAUCAUGAAAGUUGGUCAAAACAUUGGUUUUAUUGAUAUCUAGGACGAAUUUGAAAAUGGUCAGGAUGGGUGAAAAAACAUGGCUGCCAGUGGGCGGGGCAUUUUUCUCUAUAUGUAUAUAGUGAAAACAUGUGAACACACUAGAAGUCACUUUUUUGGCAGAAUUUUCAUGAAAUUUGCUCAGAACAAUUGUUUCCUUGAUACAAGAGUUGAGUUCAAAAAUGGUUCCGGUCAGUUGAAUAACAUGGCUGCUGGGAGGGGGGCAGUUUUCUCAUUAUGCCCCCCCCCCCCCCCUUUCGAAGAAGAGGGAUUAUAUUGUUUUGCUCAUGUCAGUCCGUCCGUCCACCAGAUGGUUUCCGGAUGAUAACUCAAGAGCGCUUAUGCCAAGGAUCAUGAAACUUCAUAGGUACAUUGAUCAUGAGUCGCAGAUGAACCCUAUUGAUUUUCAGGUCACUAGUUCAAAGGUCAAGGUCACGAUGACCCGAAAUAGUAAAAUGGUUUCCGGAUGAUGACUCAAAAACACUUAUGCCUAGGAUCAUGAAACUUCGUAGAUACAUUGAUCAUGACUCGCAGAUGACCCCUAUUAUUUUCAGGUCAAGGUCACGGUGACCCAAAGCAGUAAAGUGGUUUCCGGAUGAUAUCUCAAGAACGCUUAUGCCUAGGAUCAUGAAACUUCAUAGAUACAUUGAUCAUGACUCGCAUGACCCCUAUUGAUUUUCAGGUCACUAGGUCAAGGUCACGGUGACCCGAAAUAGUAAAAUGGUUUCCGGAUGAUAACUCAAGAACGCUUAUGCUUAGGAUCAUGAAACUUCAUAGGUACAUUGAUCAUAACUCGUAGAUGACCCCUAUUGAUUUUCAGGUCACUAUGUCAAAGGUCAAGGUCACAAUGACCCGAUAUAGUAAAAUGGUUUCUGAGUGAUAACUCAAGAACGCUUAGGCCUAGGAUCAUGAAACUUCACAGAUACAUUGAUCAUGACUCGUUGAUGACCUCUAUUGAUUUUCAGGUCACUAGGUCAAAGGUCAAGGUCACGAUGACCCGAAAUAGUAAAAUGGUUUCCAGAUAGUGACUCAAGAACGCUUAUGCCUAGGAUCAUGAAGGUACAUUGAUCAUGACUCGAAGAUGACCCCUAUUGAUUUUCAGGUCACUAGGUCAAAGGUCAAGGUCACGGUGACCUGAAAUAGUAAAAUGGUUUCUGGAUGAUAACUCAAUAAUGCUUAUGCCUAGGUUCAUGAAACUUCAUAGGUAUAUUGAUCAUGACUCGCAGAUGACCCCUAUUGAUUAUCAGGUCGCUUGGUCAAAGGUCAAGGUCACAGUGCCAAAAAACGUAUUCACACAAUCAGGGGGUUUUUUUACUAAGAAAGUGACGCCGAUAUUCGGCGUCUUCCCCUACCAGAAUUUUUUCCCUCAAAAUACAAUUUCCCCACCAAAAAUAUCAUUUUUCACUAAAUUAUAAUAUUUUCUCUCAAAGAAAUGUUUAUUUUUCCUUUGGGCAUUCGACAAUUAUCCAAUUUGCACCAUGUACAACGAUCUCGCUCUCUCUCUCUCUCUCUCCAGACGAACACAAAAAAUCUGGGAAUCCCAGUUAUUCUAAAUAUAGCUCUUAAAUUACGUCAUGUAAACUGGGCAACUAAUCGUAAUAAUCAUGUGACUAUUUUACUGGAUACUGUUCUUGCGCGAGAAGGGUGUUUCGUCAAUUUAUUACCGGAAACCAGUUGAAUUUUCAUCCGGGCUAUGUGCAAGCCAAGAUAUAAACGUGAAAACAGAAAAAAAAUGUCUCACAAUUGGCGUUCUUACACAAACAAAAUAAAACAUUCGGACUCGGAAGAUACUGAACGCAUUGAGGCAUUUUCUAAGAAAGAAUCAUCGAAAACCGUUAUAACCCAGCAGGAUUCUGAGGUAAUCAACAUCGAACAUUGUGAAAGUGAAAGUAGACAAUCGGCAGCUGCCGCUCCUUUCCCUUCCAAUACUGUAGCAGAUCAAGAUCGUCAACCCAUUCAUCAUGAAAUUGAAAUCACAAAAUUGACAUCGUCCCCCGGCCCCAGUACAGAAAUAUAGUUGAAAACAUUUCCCAUUAUCAAGAUCUACACCCAUCUAUUAAGAACUUUGACUUUAAUACGUGUUAAAUGUGUUUAAGAACAAAAAGGACAGAGACAAGCCUCUUUUAAUGAGUUAUAGACAUUGAAAUGAACAGUUUUUAUUUUUUCCCCUAAUAUGUCUCUUUCGCACUCUUUUUUCCCCUGUCACCCAGCGUCCAGCGUCUUCCCCUUUCUAAAAAAAACCCCUGACAAUGGCUGUCAAGGUCACGGUGACUCACCUUAGAAAAAUUUCCGGAUGAUAACUCACGAAUGCUUACGCCUAGGAUCAUGAAACUGCAGAUGAAACAAUGAUAAAACUUUACCAGGAUAUUCAUCUGAACAAUAUCUAGGUCAAGUUUGACCUUUGGUAAAGAUUGAAUGAACCGACUCCUCUCAGGUGAGCGAACUAGAGCCAUCUUGGCCCUCUUUUUUCUAAUCUUUAUGAAACUUGCUCAGAAUAUUUGUUUGAAAAAAUAGGGUGACAAGUUAAAAAAUGGUUCAGUUCUUUGUAUAAAAAAAAACACGGCAUUUUUAGGCAGGGCAGUUUUCUUUAUGAUGUUAUAGUAAAACCUUGGUAACAUUUUAGAAGUGACUUUUUGUCCAAUCCUCGUGAAACUUGCUUAGAACGUUUGUUACAAUGAUAUCUCGGCAGAGUUCAAAAUGCUUGAAUACCAAUAACAUGGCAGUUUUGUUUACAUGCCUAUAUAGUGGAACACUCAUGAAGAAAAAUAUUUUUACAGAUAACCCUGAACUUAGCUUAGAACUGAUUCCUUAAAUUGUUCUGAUAACAUUUCAAACGGUGCCCUUAACAGUUUAUUAUGCUCCCCCAAAAUUUGUUUUGGGGUGGAGCAUAUAGUCGCGGCUUGGUCUGUCAGUGUGUGCCUUUGUCUGUAGGUUGGUGCGCAAUUUUUGUCAAGGCUAUUUCUCAGCAACUAAUGACCGGAAUUCGAUGAAACUUUUUGGGAAGCUUCACUACCAAAAGGAGAUGUGCAUAAUAUCAGCGGGUUCCGGUCGGAUGAUUUUUCACAGAGUUGUGGCCCUUAGAAAUUUCUGUAAAAAAAUUCUUGUCCCCCCAUCUACUGUGCCUUCAAGACGUUUCCUUUUAUCUUAAUAUAUAGUGCAAUAUUGUGAAAAAAAAACUUUGGGGAGCAUCACCCAUCUCAUACGGUUUCUUGUUUCCCUUGCGUCUCACCUGAGAAUCCUAGGAACUUUGGCCAUCUUGUUAACGAAAACUUGAGUUAAUUUCAUAAUGGUUAUACAAACAGUAUUGUAAAUGAUGAAAUAAGAGAUCCAACUCUGACUGUUAUGUUGGAGAGAACUCUGUAUUACUCUGAUUGUGUGUGCAAACUUACAUUGCCUGAAGUAAAGGCCAUUCUAUAAGUGCCCAUUUCAUUUAGAUACUCCUUCCAAUAAUAACCAGUAUUUGUUGAAAUAACAACUCCCUGUCCAAAUGUUGUAUGACAUGAUUUAGGACAAUAAUAACCAGUUUUUGUUGAAAUAAAAAAAAAUAACUCCCUGUCCAAAUGUCAUCAUGAUUUAGGACAAGAAUAGCCAGUAUUUGUUGAAAUAACAACUCCCUGUCCAAAUGUCAUCAUGAUUUAGGACAAUAAUAACCAGUAUUUGUUGAAAUAACAACUCCCUGUCCAAAUGUCAUCAUGAUUUAGGACAAUAAUAACCAGUAUUUGUUGAAAUAACAACUCCCUGUCCAAAUGUCAUCAUGAUUUAGGACAAGAAUAGCCAGUAUUUGUUGAAAUAACAACUCCUUGUCCAAAUGUCAUCAUGAUUUAGGACAAUAAUAACCAGUAUUUGUUGAAAUAACAACUCCCUGUCCAAAUGUCAUCAUGAUUUAGGACAAUAAUAACCAGUAUUUGUUGAAAUAACAACUCCCUAUCCAAAUGUCAUCAUGAUUUAGGACAAUAAUAACCAGUAUUUGUUGAAAUAACAACUCCCUGGCCAAAUGUCAUCAUGAAUUAGGACAAGAAUAACCAGUAUUUGUUGAAAUAGCAACUCCCUGUCCAAAUGUCAUCAUGAUUUUGGACAAUAAUAACCAGUAUUUGUUGAAAUAACAACUCCCUGUCCUAAUGUCAUCAUGAUUUAGGACAAUAAUAACCAGUAUUUGUUGAAAUAACAACUCCCUGUCCAAAUGUCAUCAUGAUUUAGGACAACAGAGCAAUUACAUUCAUAAAUUAAGUAACUCUGCAAAUAAAACUACUCUCACCGGUACACAGAUUAAUACCCAAGUUGAGCCUCAUUUAAAAUAAGAGUAUACCACAAUGUGAAUUGAACUUUUAGUAUGGUGUCGUGAAAGCUUGUGUUUAUGUAGUUUUUAAACACGCUUAUAAUUAUGUAAUUUGCUUUGUAAUAUAUUACUGUUGCUCAUGUACAGGAUUAUAAAUGCUAAUAACUAAGGUUAAGUUAUUGUCUUAAAGGAAUAUUGGUAUUCUCUACAAAAAUAAGAUGUUUGAAUGGAUUUUUUGGCAAAAUCUUGAUGAAGAAAUAAUUUUGAUGAAGAAAUAAGUUAAAGAUUGAAUGUUUCGGAGUAAAGGGACAAAAUUUGGCCAUAAAUUACCUCUGUACAUACAGAAAGUAUAAUGAUUACACUAAAAAAAAAACAACAACGUAAUAAUGAAUUAUGAAAUGGCCUUUUUUACUUUUCUUUUUUUUGCAAAGAAAGCUUUUUUUGCCGUGUUAGAUGUGAAAUGACAGUGUCGAAAUUGUGAAAUGGCUGUCAACGUCCAUUCUCUAAUAAGGAAAAAAGCCGUCAAUAAUAAAUUCAUGAUGAUAACAUAGUUCAACUGAGAUACUGUGAUGUUAUUCAGUAGCUAUGUCUUUCGCUCCUAUCUGAAAUAAAUGAAAACUUCCUCGACAAUAAUAGCUUCUAAAGUAAAAUAUUUUGAAUAUAAAAUUUGGUAUAUAUGAUGAUAACAUAGUUCAACUGAUGCACUGUGAUGUAAUUCAGUAGCUAUGUCUUUCGCUCCUAUCUGAAUUAAAAACAAAACUAGCUAUUAUUUGAAAAAAAUAUCUAAUGAUCAUGUGACUUAAAACAUGGUAUGUUUCAUUAGUGUUAACAACAAAUUUAAGAUGAGAACUUCUUAUAGUUUUUUUUAGCCAUGAAAGAGUUUAAUCUGAUAGUGGUGACUUUUCUCUAUAUAUAAAAUUGUUUGUCCAUUAUUACAGACUAUUCUAAAUGUUAAAAUUACAUUAGUAAUAUAUUUGCCCAAAAUCUGACAAAAAACUUUCCGGAACUUAUUGAGUUUAUUAAUAUACAGCAAUAUAAUUCUGUAGCACUUCAUAACAACAGAUGACAGAUAAACAUGCACUUAUAAAGUAUUUGAAUACUGUUUAUUUUAAUAACAUUAAAAUGAAACUAUUUUAAUAAAAUUAAAAUGUUUCAUUUUACCGAAAUUCCAUGGUUUAUCCAGUAUUUCUCCCAAUCCAAAAAGCAGGGGCUUUAAAAUCGUAAGCAAAAAAAUCAUUGGUGUGUUGCAG